rnacentral:rRNA from 1 species
CCUACGGGUGGCAGCAGUGGGGAAUAUUGGACAAUGGGCGAAAGCCUGAUCCAGCCAUGCCGCGUGUGUGAAGAAGGCCUUCGGGUUGUAAAGCACUUUCAGUGGGGAAGAAAGCCUUGGGGCUAAUACCCUCGAGGAAGGACAUCACCCACAGAAGAAGCACCGGCUAACUCCGUGCCAGCAGCCGCGGUAAUACGGAGGGUGCGAGCGUUAAUCGGAAUUACUGGGCGUAAAGCGCGCGUAGGCGGUCUGAUAAGCCGGUUGUGAAAGCCCCGGGCUCAACCUGGGAACGGCAUCCGGAACUGUCAGGCUAGAGUGCAGGAGAGGAAGGGAGAAUUCCCGGUGUAGCGGUGAAAUGCGUAGAGAUCGGGAGGAAUACCAGUGGCGAAGGCGGCCUUCUGGACUGACACUGACGCUGAGGUGCGAAAGCGUGGGUAGCAAACAGGAUUAGAUACCCGUGUAGUC